CUUAAAUUUCAUGUUUUAUUUUACAGAUAAGAAAACUGAGAUUCAAUAAGGCUAGACAUAUAGACAGUACCCUGCACAUGGUAUGUGUUUUAAAAUAUCAGUUGGGUGAAGGGAAUUUUAUCUAAGGCCAGAGAGUGUGGCAGAGCCAGUGAUGGAAGCCAGAAGGAGUCCUGAUUUCUUAGAAAGAUGCACAGGCAAAAGAGAGACAAGAGGCAAACAGAAUCGGCUCUUACAGCAGCAAUUCAGGAUUCUGGUGCAGUGCCCUAAGAUCAUUUCAUAGCUGGGUAAGAAUUAUAUGUUGUAAAUGUAUAACUCAUAGGCAAAAUAAUACUUUCUGAAAAUAGUAUUUUCUGCUGAGAUGUCAACAACAACAAAAAUGGAUAUAGGGGUUACACCAACUGUUUCUCAGGAUAGGGUGCACCUGUUUUAAAAGGAAAAAUGUCUAAAGAAUUUGUUCUCCUAUUUCAUAUCUCUUGACCUUUUCAACCAUUAACUUCACAAUGCUAAUAAGUCACAAACCAAGUUUAAAUGAAUCUAUUUUGGAAGUGCACUGGACAUUUGC
rnacentral:lncRNA from 1 species